UCCAUGCGCACCUCCGCGAAGGACAAGGCUCCGGCUGCCGCCACCGCCCCUGCCCCCAGCUAUAAAGCCGCGCCCUUUGGCCGCCCCGCUCCUCCUCCUCCUCGCUUCGCCCGGGCCGCGCCUCUCUCCUCCUCGCCGCGCCCUGCCCGGUCCACUCCUCUUCGUCCGGGCGGUGCCUCUCUCCUCCGACCUCCCCGCCGCGCUCCGGCCGGUCCGCUGCUCCUCCACCCUUCGUCCGGGCCGUGCGUAUGUCCCUCCUCGAGCCGGGUUUCAUGUUGCUCGCCCUCCUCGAUCGAUUUGCCCGUCUAGAAUCGGGUCUGGAUUCGAUUUUGCUCGUCCUCGGUCGAUUUUUCCGUUCAGAGUCGCGUCCGGAUUUGAUUUUGCUCGCCGUCGCAGGUUUAGAUAGCUAGAGAACCCCGCCUGAUUUGGUUUUGCUCGUUCUCGCCGUCCUCCGUUUAGAACCGCGACCGAUUUGAUCUUGCUCGCGCUGAAUUCGUCAGUUUAGAACCGCUCCCGAGUUGAUUUUGCGCGUCCCCGCCGUCGUCAGUUUAGAGUCGCUCGCUUCUGAUUUGGUUCUGCUCGUCCUCGCCGUCGUCCGUUUCCGUUUUUGCUCGUCCUAGCCGUUGCCCCGACGCGCCCGCAUGUUCUUGGUCCGUCUCGUCGAGGGUCUCCGUCAUUCAGAAAUCUCUGCGUGCGCUUCUGUUGUCUGAGAGACGAUUUGGGUCCCGCGUUUCGUGUUCGUGUCGGCGCGAGCGUUACAGGAACGGUCGGGUUUUGAAAUUGGGUUCCGGCCGGAGAUGGAGAGUGGUUGUCAGUUUGGCGUGCUAGUUCAGAUCGGUUCCUAGGCUCCUGCGUUGUUCGUCGGUUGUUGUCUGAUCUCAAACGGCUAGCUUGUUCGUGUUAGCCUAGAUACUCUGGUUCCUCUGUCGAUUCUGAUUGUACCAGCUAGCUUGUUUCAGUUUCGUCAGGCGUGUGUGCUCUCGUCCUGGAUGUAGGGGUGAUUCGUUACGGUUGUUCUGAUGCGUGUUACUGCUGAUGUUCUUUUCAAUUUGUUACUUCCUGUCAUGCUUUGCUUAUCCAUAUAUGGUGAUGUGUGUUCAGGGGUGCAAACCAUGUAGGCCGUGGGUGCAAAUCAUGUGGCUUGCUGCCUGACUAAUUGAACACCUGCUGCUGCUACUGUUGGACAAGGUUUCCUCCUUUUUUGCCUCGUGUUGCUAGUCCGUUAGAUGAGGUGCUGCUAGUCCCUUAGACUUCGUUCUAGAUUGCAUAGCAUUACUCCAGAAUUUUGUCAUUGCCCACUUUCUGCUGUCAGCAUAACUCUAGAAUUUAUUUAUCUGUGAAAGCACGUUCAUCACAUGUUCUUUAUCAAUGCUGCUCACUUUUGUCACGUCUCUUUUGUUUGUCCUGUUAAAUUUUAUGGCAUCAAUUUGGAGCAAAUUUUGAACUCAGUGGUUAGAAUGCUGAUAAGCCAUGCACUUGGGAAGCCUGGGCGUGAUUAGGAUUUGGAUUGCAUAUAGAUUUUAUGCUAUGCUUGUUUAUAGUGUAAAUCUGCUAAUUUUUUAAUUUAAUUUAUGUUCAACGCAAGUAGGUUUUGUUCGUAAGUGGUAUUUCUUUUGCAUGUGCAUGAACAUUCACGCUGUCAAUUUUUAUUAUCAUAAUCAUUUACCGUGGUGUUUGACAAUACAUUUAUACUGUUCUUUGUUCCCUUUUGAGGUUCUCUGACUCAAUUAUGCAUGAGAUAUGAUAUCAAUUACUGCUGUCCAGUCACUGAAAUAAUACUUUUCUUGCUUUGCCUAGACUUUGUGACAAGAAUAAGCAUGUGUCUCUGUGUCUACAAACUUGUGGGUAGUGAUGAUGAUCCAACUAGCUUCCUGUUUUCAGGAUGAAGAUCUGAAUUACCCUCACCCCUCUACAGAAAUCAGUUAACUCAUUCAGUUUCUGGAACUUCUUUAUAGCUUUCUGAGUUUACUUCGGUCUUCCAUGUAUUAGCUUUCUGUUUGUGCACUUAUCUAUGUCUGUUUCUUUGUGUGUUUCUUGUGUGCAAGCGAUCCAUUAUGUGUGUCUAACUGUGUGUCUGACUCUGUGUGUGAUGUGCCCCUAUCUAUGCAUGUUUAUUUGUCUGUUUCAUGUGUGCAAGUGCUCCAUUGUGUGUGUCUUGACUGUGUGUCUGACUAUGUGUGUGAUGUGCCCCUAUCUAUGUAUGCUUUGUUUGUUUCAUGUGUGCAAGCACUCCAUUGUCUGUGUGUGACUGUGUUUGACUGCUUAGAUGGGGUGAUUCUGAUUGUGUUACUGCUUAUAUGGUCUGUCCAAUUGGUUUCUUCUUCAUGCUUUGCUUGUGUUCCAGUGUCGUCUCCCCAUAUAUGGGGAUGUGUUGAGGGAUGCAAACCAUGUAGGCCGUUUCGACCAGGCAGGGAUCCAGAGACACUGGUCAGGCUUCUCUCCUGCUGAUAGAUGAUGAUAGACUGAGCAGAAAAGUUUGAUUCUUGUAACACUCACUUGCUUGGCUUCCACUCCUUUGCGUGGCCGAUUUGGCAUCCAAUGCAUCCCAUGCCCUUUUCCCUGUUUAUCUCACUCACUCAUCACAGCACGCUUUUCCCUGUUUUUGUUCCUUAUUUUUAUUAUCAUAAUAUAAUCAUGUUACCGUGGUGUUUGACAAUACAUUUUUUGUGAUGCCUGUUUCUCCUUAUGUCUUAUGUGGAUAUCAUAUUCUUUUUUUGUGUUACUGUUGUUCAUUCACUGGAAUAAUGCUUUUCUAAGUAUUUCAGGUAGGAUAUAGACAAAUGCCACAUUUACUCUUCCUUGUGUUGUUAAGGACGCUGAUGGGUGUGGUUUGCUUACAGAACAGGACCGAUAAUUCUGAUAGUAUGCUGAUUGUAUGACUGCUCAGGGUUCCUAUCGCUUUCUGUUUUACCAACUAAGGUUCAUCUUGUGACACAAAAUACGAUUUUGGUACGUGCAGACUCUGAAAUUUGGUGAUAAAGAAAAGGUACCUCCUAAUUUGCUCUCUGGCUCUCUUACACUUGUCUUUGUUUAUAUAACAGCAGUGGCCUCCUGGCUUGUAGUUGGGUAAUGCAGAGAGAGGUUUGGAAUUUAAGAACUAAAAUAAUGCAGAGUUGAAGGUUCUGAACGGGAAGCUUGAACAAAUAGUUUAUUAUUUCUCAUGUCUUUGAUUAGUUUCAUCAUAUCUAUGUCUGUUUCUUGUGUGCAAGCACUCCAUUGUGUCUGUGUGACUGUGUGUGUGACUGACUGUUUGUGUGUGUGACUGACUGCGUGUGUGUUUCUUUGUCUGUUUCUUGUGUGCAAGCUCCAUUGUGUGUGUGUGUGUGUGUUGACUGUGACUGUGUAUUGACUGCAUGUGUUUCUUUGUCUAUUUCUUGUGUGCAAGCUCCAUUGUGUGUGUGUGUUGACUGUGACUGUGUAUUGACUGCGACUAUGUGUAUGUGUGUAUGUGUGUGUUGACUGUGACUGUGUAUUGACUGCGACUGUGUGUAUGUGUGUGUUGACUGUGACUGUGUGUCAUUGUGCAAGCUUUCCAUCACUACCUACUGGCACCUGAUAAUGCACGGAAAUUUCUAUAAGGUCAUGGGCAUGUAAUUUUAUGACCUACAUACCUCUGUAGUUGGUAGUAUCAUUGCCCUUUGGACACUCUUCAAUGCAUUGUUGUAUAUUUUCCUGCCACAAGUAUGAUGUUUGUGCUCAGAAUUAUGUAUAUGUAGAAUCCAGGGUGGAGGGAGGUUUUCAUGAUGGCUAAUUUGAUUUCUUAUGGUUCUGAUGGUGUGCUUCUUGUGUU